rnacentral:rRNA from 1 species
AUACGUAAGUGGCAAGCGUUAUCCGGAUUUACUGGGUGUAAAGGGCGCGUAGGCGGGGGUGCAAGUCAGAUGUGAAAUCUAUGGGCUUAACUCAUAAACUGCAUUUGAAACUGUAUCUCUUGAGUGCUGGAGAGGUAGACGGAAUUCCUUGUGUAGCGGUGAAAUGCGUAGAUAUAAGGAAGAACACCAGUGGCGAAGGCGGUCUACUGGACAGUAACUGACGCUGAGGCGCGAAAGCGUGGGGAGCAAACAGGAUUAGAUACCCUGGUAGUCCACGCUGUAAACGAUGAAUACUAGGUGUGGGGGGACUGACCCCCUCCGUGCCGCAGUUAACACAAUAAGUAUUCCACCUGGGGAGUACGUUCGCAAGAAUGAAACUCAAAGGAAUUGGCGGGG